rnacentral:lncRNA from 12 species
UGAGUUAUGACAAGGAAACAAUUACUAGAUCAACAGCCUUUGUCUGAUCAAGAAGCUACUACAGAAUUGGACUAGGAUUUGAGGUGGUCUUAAAAACAUCUUGGAUUGCUCAGGUUCUGCUCAUUUCAGGACUACAGAAUCAAAGGGUGCCUGGGUGGCUCAGUCAGGUAUAGUUUAUCGUGGACUGUGCUAAUCUGGCCCCAUGAACUCUUAUUUCUACAAGUAUCUGAACUAAGCUAAGCUUCUCAGCUGUGACUCCACCAAUGAAGCGGAUGCAUUUGCCAGUUAUCCAACCCUGAUCCUUUUGAACACAAGCUUCCUUUGUGGCUGUCAUGAUGCUUUCCAGACAGUGCCACACGUACAGGUAGAGUCUCUCCUCCUCAGAUCUAUCUACUGCUGCAUCGGUCUCAUGAAAGAAGAAAGAAAUAUAGGAAUCUUCAAGGAAAAAGGAGUCUAAGAAGAGGGCAGCUCUAUCUCUUAAUGAUUUCCUCUUUGGACAUGAGAUAAGAGGACAGGUAGGAAAAAAUAUAGAUGUUUGCUAAAAACCAAAUAGAAGGGCUU